UCUUAGGCUGGUUAGAUGGUUAGGAGUUGAAGAGUGGACCCCUGUCCACAUGGUUGAAGUCAUUUAGGUAUCAGAGAGAGAAGACCAUCUACAACUGAGAGGCUGCAUUCAGGAAAACUUCAUCUCCCACGAUGUGAAGAAAAAGGGGCCAAAGACUGGCGUUUUGACAUUCCAUCCCAUUAAAAGGAAGAAGAAGGAAAAGGAACGAAGAGAAAACUCCAAUCUGCCUGCAUGGAGUGUGCUUCCUCUUGUUCAGAUGCCGUGUUUACAUUGAGAUGCCCACAGCUGGGAUGUGGUCCCAGCCUACAGACACAAUCCUGGCUUCUUGCAUCAGCCCCCCCGCCCCCAUGGUCCCCAGCCUCCAGGGACAUUGCUAAGGAAGCCUGCUCCCAAACAAGGACCCGCAGGCGGAUUCAUGGAGCGCAGGACUAGGAUUCAAGUGCAAGUGACUUCUUUGGAGAUGAUCCCGGCGCACACCAGGAGGGGAAUGAGGAAUUGAGACGAGGCAGAAGGACGAUCAAUGAACGAUGUGUCAUCAAGCCAGCGGGCAGUUGGGGAACUCCAGAAGCCACUGCAGAACGAGCACCACGGAGUUAUGCCACCGAGGAAGAGGAAGCAGGCAUUUCAUUGUCUCACAUCAUGGCAAGACGCAGAAAGGUGAGUGCAGUGAAAGAGGAUAUUUUGAGAUAGAGAGAGAGACCACAUUCCCAUCACUUUUA